rnacentral:rRNA from 1 species
AUGGCGGAUGAGAAGCUCGCCAAGCUGCGCGAGGUCUCAGGUAAUUUCUUUGUGCUGCAUCAGAGAUGGUUCUGCUCCCGUUCGUCAUCCAUGGUGUCGAUCUUGUCAGUGCAAUCUCGCGACGGAUGGGUUCUAUUCAUCCUUUCCAGCGAGUUCUACAACGAGCAGCUACUAUCGCUCACUAACUUCCCGCACAACGCAGUGUGGCAGGGCGACAGAUGCAGUGCGGCAGGGCGACGGAUGCAGUGCGGCAAGGCGACGGGUGUAGUGUGGCACUCACGGCAGCAGCGAACCCACUGA